rnacentral:tRNA from 1 species
CAAAAUGUAGCUUAAAUAAAGCAUCUCGCUUACACCGAAAAAAUACCUGUUUAACCCAGAUCAUUUUGAG